UCCGCGGUACAGUUAAAAAGCUCCACGCGACAGUAGGUGAGCUCCGUGGUACAGUUAAAAAGCUCUGCGCGACAGUAGGUGAGCUCCGUGGUACAGUUAAAAAGCUCCGCGCGACAGUAGGUGAGCUCCGCGGUACAGUUAAAAAGCUCCGCGCGACAGUAGGUGAGCUCCGCGGUACAGUUAAAAAGCUCCGCGCGACAGUAGGUGAGCUCCGCGGUACAGUUAAAAAGCUCCGCGCGACAGUAGGUGAGCUCCGCGGUACAGUUAAAAAGCUCCGCGCGACAGUAGGUGAGCUCCGCGGUACAGUUAAAAAGCUCUGUGCGACAGUAGGUGAGCUCCGCGGUACAGUUAAAAAGCUCUGCGCGACAGUAGGUGAGUUCCCCGGUACAGUUAAAAAGCUCUGCGCGACAGUAGGUGAGUUCCCCGGUACAGUUAAAAAGCUCCGCAGUACAGUUUAA